AGUAAAUUCGUUCAAAUUUAUGAAUUUUUUGAAAAAUAAUCCUUUCUGAGGAACAGGAAUUACAUUUUUUAUAAGGUAAAUCGUGUGGUCGAUGCCUACAGUAAUUUUAUGAACGUGAAUAAUAUAUUGCGUGACGCUGCGUGUACCCAUUAUCAACGUAGAUUAUAUGCACAAAAUUAUAUAAUUUAUAUAUGUAUAUAUAUAACCUCGUCGAGCACAGCAAUAUGGAACUUCCAAUUGAAAAAAUAAAAGAAAAAAGGCAAAAAAAAUAAAAAAUAAUAAUAAUAAUAAAUCAAAAAUUUAAAUAGAUAAAAGUAAUUUAUUAAUAAUAUACCCUGUACGGUAACAACUGUAUUCCAAAAUAGGGCCUGGGAUAUAGAAGUCACCUAUGAGGGAUUAUAAUUGUAAGUCUACAGAAAAGAUAUUCGACAGUUUGGACUAUCCGGUAAUCUCAUUACCUAUUUAUUACUGGUAAAAAGUUUGCCGGAUUCUGCAAACAGUUGUGAAAUAUAAGUAUAUGAUUCAAUACUUGCAUAAUAUAUAUGAUAUAUAUAUUAUAUAUACACAAAUAUAGUAUAUAUAUAUAUAUAUAUACAAUAUACAUAUAUGUAUUGUUGUUUAGUCACAUAUUUAAGAAUUAUUUGCAAUGCCUCUAUAUUUGUGUCUUGCGUUUUUAGUAAACAAUACAUUUAUACAGAAAGAUCAA